ensembl:snoRNA Gm22271 small nucleolar RNA SNORA17
CCCGCCCCCAGAGGCCUUGCAGUUGAGACUGCUGUGUCACAUGCGCGUCAGUAGGUGGCAGGAGAGAGGCUAUGUCUAUGCGCUAUGUUCUGAUCUGUGAAUAUCCGAAUGACUAGUAGUUUAAUAUU